rnacentral:rRNA from 1 species
UACGUAGGUGGCAAGCGUUGUCCGGAAUUAUUGGGCGUAAGCGCGCGCAGGUGGUUCCUUAAGUCUGAUGUGAAAGCCCACGGCUCAACCGUGGAGGGUCAUUGGAAACUGGGGAACUUGAGUGCAGAAGAGGAAAGUGGAAUUCCAAGUGUAGCGGUGAAAUGCGUAGAGAUUUGGAGGAACACCAGUGGCGAAGGCGACUUUCUGGUCUGUAACUGACACUGAGGCGCGAAAGCGUGGGGAGCAAACAGG